GCUAAAUAUAUUAAGUUGGAUAUAUUAAGUGCUAAAUAUAUUAAGUUGGAUAUAAUAAGUGCUAAAUAUAUUAAGUUGGAUAUAAUAAGUGCUAAAUAUAUUAAGUUGGAUAUAAUAAGUGCUAAAUAUAUUAAGUUGGAUAUAAUAAGUGCUAAACAUAUUAAGUUGGAUAUAAUAAGUGCUAAAGUGCUAAAAACAAGGAAUUAUUUGAAUCUAGCAUUAAUUUGAAUUCUAGAAAAUUGAUAAGAAAUGUAUGAUGAAAUCUAACUUAACUAAAUAGGAUAAGCCAUGCAUGCAUGGCUAAGGGGGUUAGUAAGUUCAUACUGAAUUAUUAGUUAAAGUAACUUUGAACACUAAAGUUGGGUUAGUUUUCAUCAUACAUUUCUUAUCAAUUUUCAAGAAUUCAAAAUUAUUCCAGAUUCAAAUAAUUUCUUGUUUAUAUAUUUAAAGUGGGAGAUGAUAAGUGCUUAACAUUUUUAUUUGGAAUAAGGAAGAGUUAAAUGUUUUCAGUUGGGAAUUCAUAAGUGUUAAAUGUGAAUUUAAGAGGGAACAGAAAUCUGAGAAUUAGUUAGGGAAUAUCUUGUUCUACCUCAUUUCAAUUCUUCAUCAAACUCCUUUUACAAGUUUUUGACAUAUAAUGAGAAUUUACUUUG
rnacentral:lncRNA from 1 species